rnacentral:rRNA from 1 species
CAAUAGCGUAUAUUAAAGUUGUUGCAGUUAAAAAGCUCGUAGUUGGAUUUCUGGAGGGAGCGUCGGCCCGUAUUUACGAGUGCGUGACGUCUCUGUCCAUCCUUGCGGGAAGGCACGGCAUUGAUUUGUUGUGUCGGAUCGCAUCAUUUACUGUGAAAAAAUUAGAGUGUUCAAAGCAGGCUUUCGCUUGAAUACAUUAGCAUGGAAUAAUAAGAUAGGACUUUGGUGCUAUUUUGUUGGUUGAGCCUAAAGUAAUGAUUAAUAGGGAUAGUUGGGGGCACCUGUAUUGCGUUGUCAGAGGUGAAAUUCUUGGAUUUACGCAAGACAAACAGCUGCGAAANCGNNNGCCAAGGAUGUUUUCAUNAA